rnacentral:rRNA from 1 species
GAUUUCUGACGAACCGGAGUGGCCCGUUUCCUUUCAGGGAAUGAGUGCCGCUUUGAGUUUGUCAUCCUUCCAGAGAGCUGCGUCUACCGUUUAUUCGGCCGGACGUAUGCGAUCUGGAUCUAUUACUUUGAAAAAAUUAGAGUGUUUAAAGCAGGCUUGCGCUAUGAAUACAUUAGCAUGGAAUAAUAAUUUAGGACUUUGGUCUUAUUUUGUUGGUUUCUAGGACUAAAGUAAUGAUUGAUAGGGACAGUUGGGGGUGCUAGUAUUCAGCGGCCAGAGGUGAAAUUCUUGGAUUCGCUGAAGACUAACUUAUGCGAAAGCAUU